CCCUUAGAUGUCCUGGGCCGCACGCGUGCUACACUGACGCAUCCGGCGAGCACUUUCCAGUUCCGAGAGGCUACUGGUAAUCAUCAAUAUGCGUCGUGAUGGGGAUAGAUCUUUGGAAUUCUGGAUCUUGAACGAGGAAUGCCUAGUAAUCGCGGGUCAUUAGCCUGCGAUGAUUAAGUCCCUGCCCUUUGUACACACCGCCCGUCGCUACUACCGAUUUCGAGUGGUCAGGUGAAUCUUUCGGACUGUGGGCGCCCUUGAGGUGUUCGCGGAAAGUCAGGUAAAUCUUACCACUUAGAGGAAGUAAAAGUCGUAACA
rnacentral:rRNA from 1 species